rnacentral:misc_RNA from 1 species
AAAGUCGUAACAAGGUUUCCGUAGGUGAACCUGCGGAAGGAUCAUUACAAAUUUGACUGACGUUGGGGUUCACGCCUCACACGUUUUCAAACUCCUUGCCAAACCUAAAAAUCAUCAGCUUCCGGCAGCUGGCUUUGAGAUUCAUCGCCGUCAGCCUGCCGUUAGCACCCCAAACCAAACUUGUUUUAAACAAAUUGUCUGAACCAAAUCAUUAAUUGAAUGAUAUUUAAAACUUUCAACAACGGAUCUCUUGGUUCCC